rnacentral:rRNA from 1 species
UACGUAGGGUGCGAGCGUUGUCCGGAAUUAUUGGGCGUAAAGGGCUCGUAGGCGGUUUGUCGCGUCGGGAGUGAAAACUCAGGGCUUAACCCUGAGCCUGCUUCCGAUACGGGCAGACUAGAGGUAUGCAGGGGAGAAUGGAAUUCCUGGUGUAGCGGUGAAAUGCGCAGAUAUCAGGAGGAACACCGGUGGCGAAGGCGGGUCUCUGGGCCGAUACUGACGCUGAGGAGCGAAAGCGUGGGGAGCGAACAGG